UUAAAGGAGACCUACCCGCUCAGAUAUUGAAAACAAUUUGUGAUUAGAUAUUGAGUUGGUCAUCCUAUAGGUCGGUCGCGACAGUCGUUUAUUGCUUUCAAACUAUAUUUUGGUUCGCAAUUGGGCUAUUAGCUCAGGUGGUUAGAGCGCACCCCUGAUAAGGGUGAGGUCCCUGGUUCGAGUCCAGGAUGGCCCACCUGAAUCAAUGCAAAAUUAAAAAUUCAAAAACAGUAUUUUUAAUUUUGAAUUGUGUCUGGGGGUUUAGCUCAGUUGGUAGAGCGCCUGCUUUGCAAGCAGGAUGUCAGCGGUUCGAGUCCGCUAACCUCCACCAGAAAGUGAGAUUGGGGAAAAAUUCAGCAACUGAGCAAUAUUUGCCAGACUGCUGGAUAUAUUUCCAGCCAUUGAACCUUGAAAACUGCAUAGUGAUAGCGAAUAAGCAGGCAGACACAGGCACAGAGAUAAUUUGAGUUGUGUUUGCAUUGAUUGAUUACCAAUUGUUGAAGU
rnacentral:tRNA from 1 species